ACCUCCUCGUGGGGAUGAAGAAACUCACCAGAGGAAAAUGGUGUCUUUCCAACCACCCAAGCAACUGAUGUCUCAACUCUUAGUGACAACACAAACCAGCGAGCGAGAUUGAUGUCACUGACUGGCUCUGCAUAAUCAUGGAGGCACCGUAAUGUCUUCACAUUUCAACUCUAAGUGACAACUUGGUUUUAAAACUUCCUUUGUGACCUUCUAGCAUGCACACGUCGAGUGCUUUUCAGAGUGGUUUUCUGAACAUGCCAUGCAGCGAGAUCGAGCACAGUGAUUGAUAGCCUCCUUCAAGGCCUCAACAAGGCGGCCUAGAAUCGAGGCUAAGUGAUCGAGUGAUGGGCUGAACAGUGCAGCAUGAAUUAUGUUGGAAGCAAGCUCUCAAAUAGACAACUGAUGUCUUCAAUCUUUCAACUCUACACGAACCGUGCAGCGAGAGUGUCACUGACUGCUGCAGGCUUGCAUGCGAGCACUAUAAUUAUGGUGAUGGACUGAACAGUGCAGCAUGUUGGAAGCAAACACACAAUUAGACAAGCCUUCCAGCUGCAAGGGUGUACAAGACCCCCCCCUGCAUGAGAGUCCUAAUCCAGUUACCC